rnacentral:rRNA from 1 species
UAGGGAAUCUUCGGCAAUGGACGAAAGUCUGACCGAGCAACGCCGCGUGAGUGAAGAAGGUUUUCGGAUCGUAAAACUCUGUUGUUAGAGAAGAACAAUGACGUUAGUAACUGAACGUCCCCUGACGGUAUCUAACCAGAAAGCCACGGCUAACUACGUGCCAGCAGCCGCGGUAAUACGUAGGUGGCAAGCGUUGUCCGGAUUUAUUGGGCGUAAAGCGAGCGCAGGCGGUUUCUUAAGUCUGAUGUGAAAGCCCCCGGCUCAACCGGGGAGGGUCAUUGGAAACUGAGAGACUUGAGUGCAGAAGAGGGGAGUGGAAUUCCGGGUGUAGCGGUGAAAUGCGUAGAUAUAUGGAGGAACACCAGUGGCGAAGGCGGCUCUCUGGUCUGUCACUGACGCUGAGGCUCGAAAGCGUGGGGAGCAAACAGG